GAUGAGGUCUCACCAUGCUGGCCAGGCUGGUCUUGAACUCCUGACCUCAAGUGAUCCACCUGCCUUGGCCUCCCAAAUUGCUGGGAUUAUAGGCAUGGGCCACUGGGCCCAGCCAGGGAUUAAGUUUCAACAUGAGUUUCUGAAGAGACAAACAUUCAAACCAUAGCAAUAUUUGUCUCCAGUCCUUUGGCAUAGAGUUCCUAAAACCCUUUAAUUUCCUGAGUAAUAGGGGCGUUAGGAGAAUCUUUUGUUCUGAUAUUUGGUCUUUGAUCUUGGUUCCUGACACAGAGAUCCUGAUCACUUGGAAUUUCCUGGGUAAUAGUAGCGUCUUUUUUUCUCAUGGGGCACCUCUUGGUGGGCUCCUGGAUAGGGCUGGUCACCAGAAAGACCAAGCCAUGAUUAGAAACUUGGAACUUUCAGCUCAGCUCCCCAUCCUCCAUGAAGGGGAGAGGGGCGGAAACCUGAGUUAGUAAUUGGUGGUGCCUAUGUGAUGAAGCCUCCAUGAAAAUCCCUGAACUGUGGGGUUUGGAGAGCUUCCGGGCUGCUGAACACGCGGAGGUGCUGGAAGGGCGAUGCACCCUGGAGGGGGCGUGGAAGCCACCUGCCCCCUCCCCCAUACCUGGCCCAAUGCAUCUCUCCCAUCUGGCUGUCCAUCUGUAUCCUUUGUAAUAUCCUUCCUAAUAAACAGGUGAACAUAAAUAAAGUGGUUUUCUGAGUUCUGUGAUCCAUCCUAGCAAAUUAUCAAAUCCAAGGAGGGCACCAUGGGAACUCCAGUGUACAGCCUGUCAGUCAGGAACACGGGUCACAGCCUGGGGCUUGUGACUGGCAUCUAAAGUAGGGGCAGUCUUGUGGGACUAAGUCCUUAAGCUGUGCAAUCUGACUCUAACUCCAGGUACAUAGUGUCAGGAUUGAGUUAAAUUGUAGAUCACCCAGCUGGUGUUGGAGAAUUGGUCGGUGUGGGGAAAACUCCACACACAUUUUAGCAACCGGAGAGGAAGUAUUCUCUGACAAGUAUGACUGUAGAAGAGAAAGCAGUUGGUUUUUCCUAUUAUACACAACUCCAUUUAAAAUCGCAAUAACCCCCGCACCUGCUCUGGCACUGCCAGCCUUCUUCCCUGCCGGAUUAUUCUCCAUAGCACUUGUCUUGUCAUCUAGCGUAGAAUUUACUUGUUUGUUCGCUUCAUUGUUCCUCCCCUCCCACCACCAUCACCACCACUGGAAGGGAAGCUCUACAAGUCAGGAAGUUUGCCUGUUUUUUAUUUUUCUUUUUAUUAUGUUCUGUAAAAUCAGAGUUUCACUCUGUUACCUAGGCUGGUCUCCAGUUCCUAGCCUCAAGUGAUCCUCCUGCCUCAGCCUCCCAAAGUACUAGGAUUACAGGCAUGAGCCGCUGCACAUGGCCAGUUUUGUCUGUUUGAUUCACUGAUGCCCAGCACCUAGAUUAGUGGCUGGCACACAGUCACCUUUAGUAAACGUGUCAUGAAUAAAUGAAUGCAGAAGCAGUGGCAGGGGUGAGCUAGUUAGUGAAGGAUGGCCACUUCCGGAUGAGGGAAUAGCAUGGAAAAGCACUAAAGGCAGAAGGAGUGUGACAUGAUCGGAAAUGGACAUUAGAUGAAUAUAGCUGGAAUGAGGGGCAUGGAGAAAGGUGGCAAGAGACAGGAGCCGGUUUGCCUGCUAAGGUGUUUGGACUUCAGCCUAAAGCCACCAUGCCUGGCCUGUACCAUUCUUUGAAGGAUAGAUAGCUAUCUUGAACUAUGG
rnacentral:lncRNA from 10 species